rnacentral:rRNA from 1 species
CGACGAACCGAGCGAACGUUAUUCGGAAUCACUGGGCUUAAAGCGUGCGUAGGCGGCUUGGCAAGUUGGGUGUGAAAGCCCUCGGCUCAACCGAGGAACUGCGCCCAAAACUGCCAGGCUUGAGGGAGAUAGAGGUGAGUGGAACUAAUGGUGGAGCGGUGAAAUGCUUUGAUAUCAUUAGGAACACCGGUGGCGAAAGCGGCUCACUGGGUCUCUUCUGACGCUGAGGCACGAAAGCUAGGGGAGCGAACGGGAUUAGAUACCCUAGUAGUCC